AAACCCUCAAGCAUAGCUUGGUGUUGGGCGUUUGUCCCGCCGCGGCGCGGACUCGCCUCAAAAGCAUUGGCGGCCUGUGUAUUGGCUUCGAGCGCAGCAGAAUGCGGCUCGGGACCUCUUGCGCGGGCGUCCAUCAAGAUCUCCCCCAAAGU
rnacentral:misc_RNA from 1 species